rnacentral:misc_RNA from 1 species
AAGUCGUAACAAGGUUUCCGUAGGUGAAAGGUAUUGCCUACUACAGCAAGUUUUUACAGGCUUGCUAGUCUCCCUGGGAGGCGACACGCUCAAUUUGCGGAGAGACCCUCUGAAGUAGAGGGAAAUCCGCAGCCCGCCCCCCCUUACCCGGAGGUCGGUUCAGAGACUCAAUAAGCGUGGGUUUGGCGGUAUGCCGAGCUUGAGAUAGAGCCCGUCCCUGCUGGAAACUGCAGGGAGUCAACGGAACCUGCGGAAGGAUCAUUAAAGAAUACAAAGCCCCUCCGGGGGCCCUAUUCUCACCCUAUGUUUACCACACUUUGUUGCUUCGGCGGAAACGCCAGAGGACCGAAACCCUUGAAUCUCUGCUGUCUGAGUCACUAUAUAAUAGUUAAAA